rnacentral:rRNA from 1 species
UAGGGAAUCUUCCACAAUGGACGAAAGUCUGAUGGAGCAACGCUGCGUGAGUGAAGAAGGGUUUCGGCUCGUAAAACUCUGUUGUUAAAGAAGAACAUAUCUGAGAGUAACUGUUCAGGUAUUGACGGUAUUUAACCAGAAAGCCGCGGCUAACUACGUGCCAG